rnacentral:pre_miRNA from 1 species
UACCGAGGAAAGCCUCGGCAGUUAACUGCAACCUGUUUCUUCAAAAUUCGGUAGUUAACUGCCGAGAGGUAUUU